rnacentral:misc_RNA from 1 species
AUCUUUUUUAAAAAAUUUUUUUUUAUAGUAAUUUUUUAGGAUUGGGGUUUUUAAACCUGUACUAAUAUCACCAAACUUGUUAGAAUUUACCCCAUCGAACAAAUACAAGUUUGGUGACUUUAGUACAAUAAUGAUCCUUCCGCAGGUUCACCUACGGAAA